CUGACCUCAAAUCAGGUAGGACUACCCGCUGAACUUAAGCAUAUCAAUAAGCGGAGGAAAAGAAACUAACAAGGAUUCCCCUAGUAACUGCGAGUGAAGCGGGAAAAGCUCAAAUUUAAAAUCUGGCGGUCUUUGGCCGUCCGAGUUGUAGUCUGGAGAAGUGCUUUCCGCGCUGGACCGUGUAUAAGUCUCUUGGAACAGAGCGUCAUAUAGGGUGAGAAUCCCGUCUUUGACACGGACUACCAGUGCUUUGUGAUGCGCUCUCGAAGAGUCGAGUUGUUUGGGAAUGCAGCUCAAAAUGGGUGGUAAAUUCCAUCUAAAGCUAAAUAUUGGCGAGAGACCGAUAGCGAACAAGUACCGUGAGGGAAAGAUGAAAAGCACUUUGGAAAGAGAGUUAAACAGUACGUGAAAUUGCUGAAAGGGAAACGCUUGAAGUCAGUCGCGUCUGCCGGAACUCAGCCUUGCUUUUGCUUGGUGCAUUUUCCGGUAGACGGGCCAGCAUCGAUUUUGACCGUCGGAUAAGGGCCAGGGAAAUGUGCCACCCUCG
rnacentral:rRNA from 1 species